UNNCNNANUAUUGGGCGUNNGAGCUCGUAGGCGGUUUGUCGCGUCUGGUGUGAAAACUCGAGGCUCAACCUCGAGCUUGCAUCGGGUACGGGCAGACUAGAGUGCGGUAGGGGAGACUGGAAUUCCUGGUGUAGCGGUGGAAUGCGCAGAUAUCAGGAGGAACACCGAUGGCGAAGGCAGGUCUCUGGGCCGCAACUGACGCUGAGGAGCGAAAGCAUGGGGAGCGAACAGGAUUAGAUACCCUGGUAGUCCAUGCCGUAAACGUUGGGCACUAGGUGUGGGGCUCAUUCCACGAGUUCCGUGCCGCAGCAAACGCAUUAAGUGCCCCGCCUGGGGAGUACGGCCGCAAGGCUAAAACUCAAAGGAAUUGACGGGGGCCCGCACAAGCGGCGGAGCAUGCGGAUUAAUUCGAUGCAACGCGAAGAACCUUACCAAGGCUUGACAUGCACGGGAAGCCACCAGAGAUGGUGGUCUCUUUGGACACUCGUGCACAGGUGGUGCAUGGUUGUCGUCAGCUCGUGUCGUGAGAUGUUGGGUUAAGUCCCGCAACGAGCGCAACCCUCGUCCCAUGUUGCCAGCGGGUUAUGCCGGGGACUCAUGGGAGACUGCCGGGGUCAACUCGGAGGAAGGUGGGGAUGACGUCAAAUCAUCAUGCCCCUUAUGUCUUGGGCUUCACGCAUGCUACAAUGGCCGGUACAAAGGGCUGCGAUACCGUAAGGUGGAGCGAAUCCCAAAAAGCCGGUCUCAGUUCGGAUUGGGGUCUGCAACUCGACCCCAUGAAGUCGGAGUCGCUAGUAAUCGCAGAUCAGCAACGCUGCGGUGAAUACGUUCCCGGGGCCUUGUACACACCGCCCGUCAAGUCACGAAAAGUCGGUAACACCCGAAGCCCAUGGCCCAACCGUUCGCGGGGGGGAGUGGGUCGAAGGGUGGGACUGGCGAUGGGACUA
rnacentral:rRNA from 1 species